CCGCUCAGAAUCGAACUCCUGAAGUGAGCAGUGAGUUAGCCCAGCAGUACUGCAUUCUAUCCAUUGUGCCACCAAGGCUCAUAGAUAGACGGGAGAAGCAAACUGGCAUGAAUCCACAAAUAAUAAAUACCUGGGAAUACUUCAUCCAUCAGCCAUGAAGAUCUAUCAUCUUUUCUUUUUGACUCUCUUUCUGAAAGCUGUAGUUGGUCCAGAUAUUGCUGGAGGUCAAGGUGAUUGUCAACAGCGUCUUAAUGGCUUCUGUUAUCCGAAGGACCUUCCCUGUCCUGAUUGUUUUGCUUUUUAUGGACACUGUGAAUUUGACCUCCAGUGCUGUGCAAAAAUAUGGUGGCUUCCGGAGUGUAAAUAUGCAACUUCACCAGCUGAAAGUUUUUUUCCUGAAACAACAACUUCACAAAUAUUUUAUGAUGAAACUGAGACACCAAAAUAAACUGUUGUGACAAUCAUUCAGCUCCUGCUUAGUAAGAACAUCUGAGUACCCUCUAACAGUUGAUGGAGCAUUUGGAGAUUACCCAAAUUCCCAAAAAUGUU